UACAGAGGGUGCAAGCGUUGUUCGGAAUUAUUGGGCGUAAAGAGCUCGUAGGCGGUUUGUCGCGUCUGCUGUGAAAACCUCAGGCUCAACCUGGGGCUUGCAGUGGGUACGGGCAGACUAGAGUGCGGUAGGGGUGACUGGAAUUCCUGGUGUAGCGGUUGGAAUGCGCAGAUAUCAGGAGGAACACCGGUGGCGAAGGCGGGUCUCUGGGCAGUUAACUGACGCUGGAGGA
rnacentral:rRNA from 1 species